UGUAUCACUAUAUUUAUAAACAAAAGAUGGCGUUAGUAGUUGCAUCAUAAUACAAAUGUAUUUUUAUUUCAACAAAAGGUAAUCAACUUGAAUCACUUAAAUUUCAUUAUUGUCAUUAAAAAUAUUCUUCAAGACAACAAGUUAAUCAUAAUUAAGAUGCCAACUCAUUGUAGACCAAGAAGACAGGUAUGACAAGAUGACUUCCCUUGUUAUGGCCAUUAUAAAGGUUAAAAGUGGACCAGGUUAAUCGUUGAUUAGUGUUCAAGAUGACGGAGAAGAGGACAAGAAGACAUGAAAAUAAACUUACAAUCAAGGUGACAUUUUCUAAGUUGAAUAACAUCCUGUCCAUGAACCAGCGAGUACAUAUUACGUCCCGUUAAUUCAUCCGCAUUAUAAUCCAAAAGAUCUGAUAUUCUGGUUUUUAAAGACAGUUUAAUGAUGUUUAUAUUAGAAAGGCAGAUUAAAGGAUAAUCAAACGAGGCGAGGAGAUAAAAUAUAAUGGUCAAAAAACAACAAGAUCAUUUAAAUAACACAACGAAAGCAAACGACACAAUCAUGACAGGCAGACAAACAAACAAACACAAAAAGGAUUCAUUGUUUUUAUCCACCAACAACGGCGAUAGUGAAAGGCUAACCUUCCUGAUAGUGAUAAAGAUAACAAUUACAAAUAAUAAAGGGUGGUUUAUUUAAUCGGUUGAGUUGACCUCAAAUAAAGGUCCUUCGAGGUCAUGGUUAUGAAUUUUACUGACAAUUUUAUGUUAUGUAGCUUGAAAAAUUUGAUUGUAGGCCCAAGUAAAUAAAAAAAUAAUCAUCAUAAUGAUAUAAUAGAAGGUAAACUUUGACUCUAUUACCAUUGUUUAAACCAAAUUGUUUUUUAGGGCUUUAAUUGCUGAACCGAGUAAUUAGAAUCUCUAAACUAACUAAAAACCAGUAACAACAAAACAGUUGAAAAAAAAGGAUCCUCCACUAGUUUCAAUGCAUUUGUUUUGAAACCUUUGACGAUAAAGAUGAUAAUGAUGACGAUCAUCAUCUGUCUUCUCUCUUCCUCUCAAUUCCUUUGGGUAGCGUUAAAAAUGAUGAUAUUUAUAUAAUACAUUACGAUUUGUGAAUAAUAUGUUUCCAGUUUUACUUUUCAUAUGAAAAUUAUCAUGUUUUUAUAAGGCUAAUGGUUCGAUUAAUUGUCCAUCAAGUCAAAUUAAUUAUCUUCUCCAUGUGAAUACAUUAA